rnacentral:rRNA from 1 species
AUGCAUUUCUGGCUCACCACGGUUUACAGACCGACUGACGACACGAGCAAAGACGACUUCCUCGCCGAGCUAGCCAAGACUACACCACUAGCCGCCGAGCCCUGGCUUAUUAAUGGUGACUUCAACUUAAUAUAUGAGGCCAGAGACAAAAACAACCACAACCUAAACAGGAGGCUUAUGGGCCGUUUUAGAGUUGCGAUCGACGGAGCAAGGCUACGCCAAAUCAAGUGCAGCAAUCACAGAUUCACCUGGAGUAGCGAGAGGGAAAACCCAACCUUAGUUAGCAUUGAUAAG